rnacentral:rRNA from 1 species
GUGCCAGCAGCCGCGGUAAUACGGAGGGUGCAAGCGUUAUCCGGAAUCACUGGGUUUAAAGGGUGCGUAGGCGGUCUUGUAAGUCAGUCGUGAAAUCGCUGGGCUCAACCCAUGCAAUUGCGAUUGAUACUGCGAGACUUGAAUGGGGUUAAGGCAGGCGGAAUGUGGCAUGUAGCGGUGAAAUGCAUAGAUAUGCCAUAGAACACCGAUUGCGAAGGCAGCCUGCUGGGCCUUUAUUGACGCUGAGGCACGAAAGCGUGGGGAGCAAACAGGAUUAGAAACCCCCGUAGUCC